rnacentral:tRNA from 1 species
GUGUCUGUAGCUCAGUUGGAUAGAGCAACGGCCUUCUAAGCCGUGGGUCGAGGGUUCGAAUCCCCCCAGGCACG